rnacentral:rRNA from 1 species
UACGUAGGGGGCUAGCGUUGUCCGGAAUCAUUGGGCGUAAAGCGCGUGUAGGCGGCCCGGUAAGUCCGCUGUGAAAGUCGGGGGCUCAACCUCGGAAUGCCGGUGGAUACUGUCGGGCUUGAGUGCGGAAGAGGCGAGUGGAAUUCCUGGUGAGCGGUGAAAUGCGCAGAUAAUCAGGAGGAACACCAUUGCGAAGGCAGCUCGCUGGGACGUUAACUGACGCUGGAGACGCGAAAGCGU